GAGGAAUAUUGGACAAUGGAUGGAAAUCUGAUCCAGCCAUGCCGCGUGCAGGAAGACGGCCCUAUGGGUUGUAAACUGCUUUUAUACGGGAGCAAUAAGGUCUAUGCAUAGAUUGAUGAGAGUACCGUAUGAAUAAGCAUCGGCUAACUCCAUGCCAGCAGCCGCGGUAAUACGGAGGAUGCGAGCGUUAUCCGGAUUUAUUGGGUUUAAAGGGUGCGUAGGCGGCUUUGUAAGUCAGCGGUGAAAUUUUGCAGCUUAACUGUAAAAGCGCCGUUGAUACUGUGAAGCUAGGAUUUGGUUGCUGUGGGCGGAAUGUGUGGUGUAGCGGUGAAAUGCAUAGAGAUCACACAGAAUAUCGAUUGCGAAGGCAGCUCACAAAGCCAAUAUUGACGCUGAGGCACGAAAGUGUGGGGAUCAAAC
rnacentral:rRNA from 1 species